AGAGUUUGAUCAUGGCUCAGAACGAACGCUGGCGGCAGGCUUAACACAUGCAAGUCGAACGAUCUCUUCGGAGAUAGUGGCAGACGGGUGAGUAACGCGUGGGAACCUACCUUAUUCUACGGAAUAACAGUUAGAAAUGACUGCUAAUACCGUAUACGCCCUUCGGGGGAAAGAUUUAUCGGAGUAAGAUGGGCCCGCGUUGGAUUAGCUAGUUGGUGGGGUAAUGGCCUACCAAGGCGACGAUCUAUAGCUGGUCUGAGAGGAUGAUCAG
rnacentral:rRNA from 1 species